GCCCGGUUAGCUCAGUCGGUAGAGCAUCAGACUUUUAAUCUGAGGGUCAGGGGGUUCGAGUCCCCUAUCGGGCU